AUUGAACGCUGGCGGCAGGCUUAACACAUGCAAGUCGAGCGGGGUGAUGGUGCUUGCACUAUCACUUAGCGGCGGACGGGUGAGUAAUGCUUAGGAAUCUGCCUAUUAGUGGGGGACAACAUCUCGAAAGGGAUGCUAAUACCGCAUACGUCCUACGGGGGAAAGCAGGGGAUCACUUGUGACCUUGCGCUAAUAGAUGAGCCUAAGUCGGAUUAGCUAGUUGGUGGGGUAAAGGCCUACCAAGGCGACGAUCUGUAGCGGGUCUGAGAGGAUGAUCCGCCACACUGGGACUGAGACACGGCCCAGACUCCUACGGGAGGUAGCAGUGGGGAAUAUUGGACAAUGGGGGGAACCCUGAUCCAGCCAUGCCGCGUGUGUGAAGAAGGCCUUAUGGUUGUAAAGCACUUUAAGCGAGGAGGAGGCUCUUUUGGUUAAUACCCAAGAUGAGUGGACGUUACUCGCAGAAUAAGCACCGGCUAACUCUGUGCCAGCCGCCGCGGUAA
rnacentral:rRNA from 1 species